rnacentral:rRNA from 1 species
GACAGAGGGUGCAAACGUUGUUCGGAAUUAUUGGGCGUAAAGAGCUCGUAGGCGGUUCGUCGCGUCGGCUGUGAAAUCCCGAGGCUCAACCUCGGGUCUGCAGUCGAUACGGGCGGACUGGAGUUCGGCAGGGGAGACUGGAAUUCCUGGUGUAGCGGUGAAAUGCGCAGAUAUCAGGAGGAACACCGGUGGCGAAGGCGGGUCUCUGGGCCGAUACUGACGCUGAGGAGCGAAAGCGUGGGGAGCGAACAGG